rfam:Pseudogymnoascus sp. 05NY08 unplaced genomic scaffold scaffold_196, whole genome shotgun sequence.
GAAAGCGAUGGCAGCUCAAGGAGAACUGGGCAUCCCGUCCGCUCUGCCAACCAUAAACUUGAGAUCGGUGGAUUAGUAGUUGGGUGGGUGACCACCAGCGAAUACCCACUGUUGUAUGUU